rnacentral:lncRNA from 1 species
AACACACACACAGAGUAACGAGAGAAGCAGAGACCGGCAGUGAAGGGAGAAAAAGGGAAAGAAGAAGGGAGAAAAAGGGAAAGAUGAAAGGAAAAAGAAAAAGAAAAAGGAAAAGAAGAAAGGAAAAAGAAGAAGAAAAGAGGUGAGGUUAAUCUCUUCAAGUUGGGUUUAAUUUUUCCACUUUGUUUUCGAGUGAUUAAGUAUGAUUUAUAUUAAAUUUUUAGGGUUUUAACUUGUAGAAUAAAAUGUCGAAUUUUAGGUGAUAUUUGUACGAAUUGGAGCUCAAGUUUGGGGAUUUCUUCAUUUCCAAUUUUAGCUAGGUAAGGGA